rnacentral:lncRNA from 1 species
UGUCAACCCUCAGGCGGUGAAGGUCCUGAGGACAGCUGAGUUUGUCCCUUACGUGGUGUUCAUCGAGGCUCCUGACUUUGAGACUCUGCGGGCCAUGAACCGAGCUGCCCUGGAGAGCGGAGUGUCCACUAAGCAGCUGACGGAGGCGGAUCUGAGGCGGACAGUGGAGGAGAGCAGCCGCAUCCAGAGAGGCUAUGGGCAUUACUUCGACCUCAGCCUGGUCAACAGCAACCUGGAGAGGACCUUCCGCGAGCUCCAGACUGCCAUGGAGAAGCUUCGCACGGAGCCCCAGUGGGUGCCUGUGAGCUGGGUGUACUGAGUCUUGCUCUGGACCUUGUUACUGCCUGGUCGGGAAUCCAACUUUCACUCGGCCUGUGAUACUCCCCCACCCUGCUAAUGGUCUUCAUCCUCCCAUCUCCGGUUAGCCCACAGCAGGGUACAUUCAUGUCAGGCUUUUCUGGAUGGAUCUGGGUGACCCGCUGGCAUUAGGGCUUAGGAUGGGAGACAGUGAGUGAGGGCUUGGAAACAGAUUAGCUUUAUGUGUGUGUGUGUGUGUGUGUAUGUGUUGCACACGUGUAUGCACACGUUUGGUUUAGUUUGAGGGGGGGCAGAGGAUUGCCUUCUCUUGGAGAUAGCUCUCUGAGGUCCCCUUAUGGGUUCCCCUCAACUCCGACAUUUCUUACAAUCCCCCGUUCCAGACUCCAGACCCCGGAUCGCCCUCAACUCUUCCAUUUCCCUGUAUCCUAAGUACCAGCCUUUAGUCCUCGGGGAGGGUGAUUUUGUAAAAUAGGAUAAUCCUAAGAACCCCACCCAUGACAUCUGGAGACAUUUCAUUCCUCAUUCUCAAGGGGUCCCAUAUCCUCACAGGAGACCCCCCCGGCAUUUCUGCCCUGUGCCUCCCAGUUCUCCUAAGCGUCAGUCUUUGCUGCACUGUCAGCUCAAGCUUGUCCCUGAAUCACUGUGUGCCCAUUUCCUAGAGAAGGGGAGGGGGGGAGAAUAGACAGAAUAUUUAUUACAAAUGCUAGACAUAUAUUUAUUAUAUCAGCUAUCUCAUUUGCACUGGCAUCAGAUGUGCAGGUGGGACUAGAGGUGGGCCCACCCACUGCUCAUUUGCAUAGCUCUGCUAUCGCCUAUCUGUACUUUUCCUUUGGUCAAUCAAUGUCCUUUCCUUUAGUUCAGUAUCUUGCUGUGACCCCUGACCCUUACUUAGCUGCAGGGGACUGCCCUCCUUGACAGCUCCUUCCUCCCCUGGAGGAUGAGCUCAGGGUCAGAGAAGCGUCUGUGACAGCCCCUGACCACCCCCUUGAUUAACCCACAAAGCCCCCCAACCAAAAGACCAUGGCCUUUGAUCGAGAUCUGGCGGGCACCGUGCUGGAGAGUUGGUACCAGUUCCUCCCUCUGAAGAUCCAGUGUGGUAUCCAAUCCCCAUAUCCUCCUCUCUAGUAAUGUGCCAGGGCCCCUCCUCUCUCAGCAGCCUCCUACCUCUCUCUCUCCCACUGAGCCUGGCUCUACAACCCAUCCAAGCACUGGCCAGGAGGGAACAGAGGUUGUGGGCCUCCUCAGCUCACCUGGCACAGGGCUGGGUUAGAACAUGUUCGUGCCCACCAUGCUAGCUCUGUGACUCCGUCCUCCCUCCCUCCCACCAUGGCCUCUUGUAUUUGGGGACCUCAGGAGAAGGAGGACCCUGCCCCCUCCAUGGUCCACACUCAGUCCCUCUGCUCCCCUCCAUCACCACCAGCCCCAUCUACUUUCUUAAAUCUUCUUUCUUUUCCUUUGAUUAAACGUGACAGCAAGUG